rnacentral:rRNA from 1 species
GAUGAACGCUGGCGGCGUGCCUAAUACAUGCAAGUCGAGCGAACAGACGAGGAGCUUGCUCCUCUCACGUUAGCCGCGGGCGUGUGAGUAACACGUGUAUACCCUCCCUAUCAGACGGGGAUCACUUCGGGAAACCGGCGCUAAUCCGGUAGGAUAUAUUGAACCGCAUGGUUCAAUAGUAAAAGACGGUUUUGCUGUCACUUCUAGAUGGUUACGGGCCGCAUUAGCUAGUUGUUAAGGUAACGGCUUACUAAGGCAACGAUGCGUAGCCGAGCUGAGAGGGGGAUCGGCGACAUUGGAACGGAGACAGGGUCAAGAGGACUACGGGAGGCAGCAGUAGGGAAUCGUCGGCAAUGGGCGAAAGCCUGACGGAGCAACGGCGCGUGAGUGAUGAAGGUGUUCGGAGCGUAAAACUCGGUUAUGAGGUAAGAACAGAUGUGUAAGUAACUAUACACGUCUUGACGGUACCGAAUCAGAAAGCCACGGCUAACUACGUG